rnacentral:hammerhead_ribozyme from 1 species
ACCUUACUGACGAGUGCCAAGUAGCAUGAAACGCGAGUCCAAGGU